rnacentral:rRNA from 1 species
GAAUAUUGGACAAUGGGCGCAAGCCUGAUCCAGCCAUGCCGCGUGAGUGAUGAAGGCCUUAGGGUUGUAAAGCUCUUUCGGCGGGGGCGAUAAUGACGGUACCCGCAGAAGAAGCCCCGGCCAACUUCGUGCCAGUAGCCGCGGUAAUACGAAGGGGGCUAGCGUUGUUCGGAAUCACUGGGCGUAAAGGGCGCGUAGGCGGCUUUAUAAGUCGGGGGUGAAAGCCUGUGGCUCAACCACAGAAUUGCCUUCGAUACUGUAUGGCUUGAGACCGGAAGAGGUAAGUGGAACUGCGAGUGUAGAGGUGAAAUUCGUAGAUAUUCGCAAGAACACCAGUGGCGAAGGCGGCUUACUGGUCCGGAUCUGACGCUGAGGCGCGAAAGCGUGGGGAGCAAACA